CUCCACUUACGGACGGCGCAAUACCCGGCAGUGUGCCCGUUCGUUUGGGGGCUCCAGCGCAAGCUGGGGCCCCUCUCUUUUU
rnacentral:sRNA from 1 species